UUAUUAUCUGACAAGUCUUUACUCACUCUCAGAUCAGACAUCAGUUUCUUGUCCAGAGUCUGCUCCAGGAAGUGAGGACUGACCUGCAGCAUGGAACCCUGACACCCCGUUUUUCCAGCCUGCACCCGAACCAUCCAGGAACCAUCACUGACCAUGUGACUGAUCUUUCCAAAUGCAUCAUCAACCAGUCGAAUCUCCUCAUUGGAUGAUGGAAUAGAACUAAACAACAGUAGCAGCACACUGACGACAGACAACUGUGUCCUCCCACCUUUCUGGAUACAGCUGACUCAGCACCCAAACCAUCUGAACAGCUGCAGAACGAACUUGCUCAUAGUCAUCUGACAGCAGCCUGC